rnacentral:rRNA from 1 species
CCUACGGGUGGCUGCAGUGGGGAAUAUUGCGCAAUGGGCGAAAGCCUGACGCAGCGACGCCGCGUGGGCGAUGAAGGCCUUCGGGUUGUAAAGCCCUGUCGGGUGGAACGAACGAUCUGGCGGCGAAUAACCGCCGGGUGUGACGGUACCACCGAAGGAAGCCCCGGCUAACUACGUGCCAGCAGCCGCGGUAAGACGUAGGGGGCGAGCGUUGUUCGGAUUUACUGGGCGUAAAGCGCGCGUAGGCGGCUAAAUCCCUCGGCUUAACCGUGGUCCCGCAUUCGGUAAUGUCUGGGUCGAGUCUAGGGGAGGAAAGCCGAAUUCCCAGUGUAGCGGUGAAAUGCGUAGAUAUUGGGAGGAACACCGGUGGCGAAGGCGGCUUUCCGGACUAGUACUGACGCUGAGGCGCGAAAGCUAGGGGAGCGAACGGGAUUAGAUACCCGGGUAGUC